GUCUUUAAGAUUAAUAAUUUAAAGUCUAAUCUGCUCACUGAAAUAAUUUUUAAAGAGCCGCAGUAUAAUUGUGCAAAGGUAGCAUAAUAAUUAGUCUUUUAAUUGAAGUCUAGAAUGAAUGAUUGGACGAGAUAUUUACUGUUUCAAUUUUAUAAAAAUAGAAUUUAAUUUUUUAAUUAAAAAGUUAAAAUUUUUUAAAAAGACGAGAAGACCCUAUAGAUUUUUAUAUUUAAAUUUAAUAUAAGAUAAUUAUUAAUAUUAUAUAAAUUUGAUAUUUAAUUGGGGUGAUUAAAAAAUUUAAUUAACUUUUUUUUUAUUAAACAAAAAUUAUUGUAUAAGUUUUAUAAUUUGAUCUAUUAUAGUAAAUUAAGAUUAAAAUACCUUAGGGAUAACAGCGUAAUUUUAAUUUGAAGUUCUUAUUUAAAUUAAAGAUUGCGACCUCGAUGUUGGAUUAAAAUUAAUAUUAAAUGCAGAAAUUUAAUUAUUAGGUCUGUUCGACCUUUAAAAUUUU
rnacentral:rRNA from 1 species